UACGGAGGGUGCAAGCGUUAAUCGGAAUUACUGGGCGUAAAGCGCACGUAGGUGGCGUGAUAAGUUGGAUGUGAAAAACCGGGGCUUAACCUCGGCCGUGCAUUCAAAACUGUCAUGCUAGAGUAAGGGAGAGGGGGGUAGAAUUUCAGGUGUAGCGGUGAAAUGCGUAGAGAUCUGAAGGAAUACCGGUGGCGAAGGCGGCCCCCUGGCCCAUUACUGACACUGAGGUGCGAAAGCGUGGGUAGCGAACAGG
rnacentral:misc_RNA from 1 species